rnacentral:rRNA from 1 species
GGCUGGUUCUCUCCGAAAUGCAUUUAGGUGCAGCGUUGCGUGUUUCUUGCCGGAGGUAGAGCUACUGGAUGGCCGAUGGGCCCCAAAAGGUUACUGACGUCAGCCAAACUCCGAAUGCCGGUAAGUGAGAGCGCAGCAGUGAGACUGUGGGGGAUAAGCUUCAUAGUCGAGAGGGAAACAACCCAGACCACCAACUAAGGUCCCUAAGCGCGUGCUAAGUGGGAAAGGAUGUGGAGUUGCCUUGACAACCAGGAGGUUGGCUUAGAAGCAGCCACCCUUGAAAGAGUGCGUAAUAGCUCACUGGUCAAGUGAUUCCGCGCCGACAAUGUAACGGGGCUCAAGCACGCCACCGAAGUUGUGGCAUUGACAUUAUUGGUAGGCCUUCGUGGUCCAGCCGUGUUGAUGGGUAGGAGAGCGUCGUGUGGCCAGCGAAGCGGCGGUGUGAACCAGCCGUGGAGGCUACACGAGUGAGAAUGCAGGCAUGAGUAGCGAAAGACGUGUGAGAAACACGUCCUCCGAAUGACCAAGGGUUCCAGGGUCAAGCUAAUCUUCCCUGGGUAAGUCGGGACCUAAGGCGAGGCCGACAGGCGUAGUCGAUGGACAACGGGUUGAUAUUCCCGUACCGGCGAAGAACCGCCCAAGCUAAUCCAGUGGUGCUAAGUGUCUGAAUCCGUGGUAACUGUCCCUUCGGGGCCAGAGCUACGGCCUAGCACACGACCCCAUGCUGGUGCGGUUAGCGUAUUAACAGGUGUGACGCAGGAAGGUAGCCCAAGCCAGGCGAUGGUUGUCCUGGUGCAAGUGCGUAGGCCGAGUGAUAGGCAAAUCCGUCACUCAUACAGGCUGAGACACGAUGCGGAUAAAAAGUGGGUGAUCCUAUGCUGCCAAGAAAAGCAUCGACGCGAGGUUCUAGCUGCCCGUACCCCAAACCGACUCAGGUGGUCAGGUAGAGAAUACUAAGGAGAUCGAGAGAAUCGUGGUUAAGGAACUCGGCAAAAUGCCCCCGUAACUUCGGGAGAAGGGGGGCCUUCGACGUAUAAGGACUUGCUCCGAAAGCGUUUGGAGGCCGCAGAGACUAGUGGGUAGCGACUGUUUACUAAAAACACAGGUCCGUGCCAAGUCGCAAGACGAUGUAUACGGACUGACGCCUGCCCGGUGCUGGAAGGUUAAGAGGACCGGUUAGCCGCAAGGCGAAGCUGAGAAUUUAAGCCCCAGUAAACGGCGGUGGUAUCUAUAACCAUCCUAAGGUAGCGAAAUUCCUUGUCGGGUAAGUUCCGACCUGCACGAAUGGCGUAACGACUUCCCAACUGUCUCAACCGCGAACUCGGCGAAAUUGCAUUACGAGUAAAGAUGCUCGUUACGCGCAGCG